AGUGAGUUUUUAUAAUCUACUAAUGACGUCUAACAGCAUAUGGUGGUAAUCCAGCAGAAUAGAAAAUAGAACCCCUAAGUGUAGUCACUGUAUGAUUCAGUUCUCCUAUCAUGAGUCCCGAUAAGAUAGAGGUUAUGAAAACUAUCAAACUUCAACAUCCGUCAUACAAAAGAUUAGAUUAGCUCAAGUUCACGUGUGACAUUCAUGAAAACUCUUUCCAUCAAUCACCUUUCUAUGGCCAUAAACUUAUGGACUCAGCUUCUCAAAUUUCAUAGGACUACUCCUUAUCUACUA
rnacentral:lncRNA from 1 species